rnacentral:lncRNA from 1 species
CUGACGAUUGGAUAUUAUUUCUUAACAACUAUUUAUAUUAUUUGUGUGUAAAUAGAUGAUCAAUUUUUAUAAUUCCAGGUAUAAAAGUUUACGACGAUCUGCAAACCUUUUUGUUUUGAAUUUAGCAGUAGGUGAUACAUUGCUUAUAGUUGCAAAUGUUCCAUUGUUGGUGAUUUCAAGUUUCCGUGCUCAAUGGAUUGGCGGAGUAAUAGGUAAGAAUACUAGUAAACAAAACUAAAAAGUAGAAAUUAACGUUUGCGGAAAUUCAUUUUCACACAUACAAACGUGUAAUCACAAAGAUUGACUUAUGAGAAUGGUGAAUUGUAAUAAGCAUAACAAUACAAAAAAAAACUAACAAUAGACCCACGAGAGAGGCGAAAUAAACCAGUUGGACAUUCAAAAGCAUAAGUGAAAAACAAAUAAGAAAAUCAUGGUUAAAAUCAGACAAACAAAACUACACAAAACAUGAGGAGCCUGUAAUUCAGUGGUUGUCGUUUGUUUAUGUGUUACAUAUUUAUUUUUCAUUCAUUUUUUACAUGAAUUAGGCCGUUAGUUUUCUUGUUUGAAUUGUUUUACAUUGUCUUAUCGGGGCCUUUUAUAGCUGACUAUGCGGUAUUGGUUUUGCUCAUUGUUGAAGGUCGUACGGUGACCUAUAGUUGUUAAUGUCUGUUUCAUUUUGGUCUUUUGUGGAUAGUUGUCUCACUGGCAAUCAUACCACAUCUUCUUUUUUAUAUGAGAUAAAAAAAAACUAGAGACUGAGCAAAACGAACCCAACGAAAACUAGGGGUGGUCUUAGGUGAUCCAGAAGGGACUUCAUGACAUUUUUGUCGUCGUGUAUCGAAGUAUCGAUCUAACAGUACUUGCAGUUAGCUUUUGAUUCUGCCAAUUGAUUUGGAACUUUUAGUUUUUAAUUUUCCUCAGAGUUCCGUAUUUUUGUGAUUUUACUCUUUACAUGUAGUAACUAAAAGCUAGUAAACAUGAAAGCAAUACAAAUGGGCUAAGGGAAAAUCAAACACAAACAAUCAACCUUAAUGCAUGCAUGCCUACUAUCUAAUCGGUUUCUGUACUUUUUAGAAUUCCUAUUAGAAUAGUGUCAUCGUAAACUUCAUAAACAAUAAAGUAAUUGAAGUACAGAAAAACAAAUAAAACAUUAAAGUAUUGAAACAAAAUUUUAAUUCGAUUUGCGUUCAAAAAUAAACCAGAUGCAAUAUCUGAACAUCUACAGUAUUAGUUUUACCAUCAUUUAUAAGUUUAUAAGGCAAAGAGAAAAAUUCCAUACGUAUUGAAAGUUAAACCAAUACUUCAUAAUCUUUUUUCUCAUCUAUAAUAAAACACGAAAAUAUAACAAUAAUACUCACACAAAGUCAAUUGUUUCUUUUCAGGUUGUCACCUUUUUGCUUUCUUUGGUGGACUUUCAGGAUUCGUUUCUAUAAAUACACUUACUGUGCUAGCCAUAGAGCGUUGUGUUGUUAUCACGUGUCAUCUAACCUAUAACAACAGACUAUCUAAUCCAAGAAUUAUUUUAUUAUGUGUCAUUGUAUGGAUAUAUUCAUUCCUAUGGUCAAUUCUACCGUAUUUGGGUUGGGGAGGACACAUGAUGGAGGGGUCAAGGACAUCAUGUACAUUCGAUUACUUUACAAAAACUAUUAACAACAGAAUGUAUGUGAUAUGUUUAAUAGUGUUUUGUUUUGUAUUACAAUUGAUAAUAAUAUCUUUAUCAUAUCUGAAAAUUGUGACAGUGGUAUUUUCCCGUCAACACGAGAUUACGCACUCGAAAUCAAACUCUAAAGCGGUAUGCUUGCGGGUUUCAUCAAGUAAAGACAGGCUAAAGGUCGAAUGGCGUGCUACAAAAGCUGCGAUGAUUCUUGUUUUUGUAUUUUGUAUUUCUUGGACACCUUACGCUAUCAUUGCUUUGAUUGGUCAGUUUAGCGAUACGUCAAUCAUUACCCCGCUGUCGUCUGCUUUACCUGGACUAUUUGCUAAAAUGUCUUCAUUUUUAAACCCAAUUAUCUAUACGUUAUUACAUUCAAAGUAUAGAAAAAUGAUUAGAAGCAUUUUUCAAAAUUCCGGAGAAGGGAAUUAUAGAAACAACUCUAAUAAUACUCAAAACUUGAAAUUAAAUUUUGAAAAAGACAGCACUUCCAGUCCAAACAUAGGGAUGAUUAGCAGAAGUAGAAGUACGACUGUAUUAUAACUUUUUCAUUCAACAUACAGAAAUGUUUAUAGCUCAUUGCUUCGUGAAUUCUAUGAAGGUCAGCAUUGGAUUAAUGUACUGAAUAAACUAUCUACAUGUGGGGAAAUGACAACAAUGUUAAAAGCAGUUUAUAUAUAUAUUUGGUUAUCGCGCCUG